GAUGAACGCUGGCGGCGUGCCUAAUACAUGCAAGUCGAGCGAACAGACGAGGAGCUUGCUCCUCUGACGUUAGCCGCGGACGUGUGAGUAACACGUGGAUAACCUACCUAUAAGACUGGGAUAACUUCGGGAAACCGGAUCUAAUACCGGAUAAUAUAUUGAUCCGCAUGGUUCAAUAGUAAAAUACGGUUUUGCUUUCACUUAUAGAUGGAUCCGCGCCGCAUUAGCUAGUUGGUAAGGUAACGGCUAACCAAGGCAACGCAGCGUAGCCGACCUGAGAGGGUGUCAGGCCAAACUGGAACUGGAACACGGUCCAGACUCCUACGGGAGGAAGCAGUAGGGAAUCUUCCGCAAUGGGCGAAAGCCUGCCGGAGCAACGCCGCGUGGGUGAUGAAGGUCUUCGGAUCGUAAAACUCUGUUAAUAGGGAAGAACAAAUGUGUAAGUAAAUAUGCACGUCUUGACGGUACCUAAUCAGAAAGCCACGGCUAACUACGUG
rnacentral:rRNA from 1 species